CCUACGGGCGGCUGCAGUGGGGAAUAUUGGACAAUGGGCGAAAGCCUGAUCCAGCCAUGCCGCGUGUGUGAAGAAGGCCUUCGGGUUGUAAAGCACUUUCAGUGGGGAAGAAAGCCUUGGGGCUAAUACCCUCGAGGAAGGACAUCACCCACAGAAGAAGCACCGGCUAACUCCGUGCCAGCAGCCGCGGUAAUACGGAGGGUGCGAGCGUUAAUCGGAAUUACUGGGCGUAAAGCGCGCGUAGGCGGUCUGAUAAGCCGGUUGUGAAAGCCCCGGGCUCAACCUGGGAACGGCACCCGGAACUGUCAGGCUAGAGUGCAGGAGAGGAAGGUAGAAUUCCCGGUGUAGCGGUGAAAUGCGUAGAGAUCGGGAGGAAUACCAGUGGCGAAGGCGGCCUUCUGGACUGACACUGACGCUGAGGUGCGAAAGCGUGGGUAGCAAACAGGAUUAGAUACCCUGGUAGUC
rnacentral:rRNA from 1 species